rnacentral:rRNA from 1 species
CAGCAGCCACGGUAAUACGGAGGGUGCAAGCGUUAUCCGGAUUUAUUGGGUUUAAAGGGUCCGUAGGCGGAUCUGUAAGUCAGUGGUGAAAUCUCACAGCUUAACUGUGAAACUGCCAUUGAUACUGCAGGUCUUGAGUAAAUUUGAAGUGGCUGGAAUAAGUAGUGUAGCGGUGAAAUGCAUAGAUAUUACUUAGAACACCAAUUGCGAAGGCAGGUCACUAAGAUUUAACUGACGCUGAUGGACGAAAGCGUGGGGAGCGAACAGGAUUAGAUACCCCGGUAGUCCCUGUCUCUUAUAC